GACGAACGCUGGCGGCGUGCUUAACACAUGCAAGUCGAACGGAAAGGCCCUGCUUUUGUGGGGUGCUCGAGUGGCGAACGGGUGAGUAACACGUGAGUAACCUGCCCUUGACUUUGGGAUAACUUCAGGAAACUGGGGCUAAUACCGGAUAGGAGCUCCUGCUGCAUGGUGGGGGUUGGAAAGUUUCGGCGGUUGGGGAUGGACUCGCGGCUGAUCAGUUUGUUGGUGGGGUAGUGGCUUACACAGGCUUUGACGGGUAGCCAGCCUGAGAGGGGGACCGGCCACAUUGGGACUGAGAUACGGCCAAGACUCAUACGGGAGGAAGCGGUGGGAAACAGUGCGCAAUGGGCGGAAGCAGUAUGCAGCAACGCCGCGUGCGGGAUGACGGCUUUCGGGUUGUAAACCGCUUUCGCCUGUGACGAAGCGUGAGUGACGGUAAUGGGUAAAGAAGCAACGGCUAACUACGUG
rnacentral:rRNA from 1 species